rnacentral:tRNA from 1 species
GCGCUCAUGGCCUAAUGGAUAAGGAGCUUAAUUUCUAAUCAAGUAACAAGUAAUUGUGGGUUCGAGUCCCACUGGGUGUG